AUUGAACGCUGGCGGCAUGCUUUACACAUGCAAGUCGAACGGUAACAGGUUAAGCUGACGAGUGGCGAACGGGUGAGUAAUGCAUCGGAACGUGCCCGAUCGUGGGGGAUAACGCAGCGAAAGCUGCGCUAAUACCGCAUACGAUCUGAGGAUGAAAGCGGGGGACCGUAAGGCCUCGCGCGAUCGGAGCGGCCGAUGUCAGAUUAGGUAGUUGGUGGGGUAAAGGCUCACCAAGCCAACGAUCUGUAGCUGGUCUGAGAGGACGACCAGCCACACUGGGACUGAGACACGGCCCAGGCUCCUACGGGAGGCAGCAGUGGGGAAUUUUGGACAAUGGGGGCAACCCUGAUCCAGCCAUGCCGCGUGAGUGAAGAAGGCCUUCGGGUUGUAAAGCUCUUUCGGCCGGGAAAAAAUCGCAUGGGCUAAUACCCUGUGUGGAUGAUGGUACCGGAAUAAGAAGCACCGGCUAACUACGUGCCAGCAGCCGCGGUAAAAC
rnacentral:rRNA from 1 species